AAGAAACAAGGUGUAGUAUGAUUGCCAAUGAGACAACUCUUCACAAGAGACCAAAUGACAAAGAAAUGUUAACAACUAUAGUCGACCGUACUGCUUACAACAAUGAGCAAAGCUCAUACAGCAUAGUCAGCUAUAAGAGGCCACAACAUGACAAAUGUAAAACAACUAAAACGAGAAAACUAACAGCAAAAUUCAUAUGCGAAAAAAUGACUGAAAACACAAC
rnacentral:lncRNA from 1 species